rnacentral:tRNA from 1 species
GGAUUUAGGUCAGCGGUAGAGCAUACGCUUAGUAUACUCAAGACCCUGGGUUCAAUUCCCAGCACCA